AAUAUAUAAGCCUAUCAUGAUAUAAUAUAAUAUUAUAUAUAGUAUAUUACUAUCAAUCAUUACCUAAUGACAUAGCCCAAUCACGUUGACUGGAGUAUGAAUUGAUGAAGGUACGAAUCAAGAGAGAAGUUACUGCUAGGAGUUGGAGCCCAGAGCAUGAAGAUGUGAGAGGGGAAUACUGAUCAGAGUGAACGAUAAAGUAUCGAGGAGCUCUGUUACGUAAGGCCGGAGCGGUGGCGCUGGGCGGCCACGUUCCAACACUACACGAGAACGUCUGGCAGACUCAGGUUCUGCUACAGAGACAUGGAGAGGAGGACUAUGAUAUCUGAUCAGGACGCGGCUGGCGCCCCGCGGCUCCUUCUCCUGCUCCGCCGGCAGCUCCUCGCAUGUCGUCGGGGGGAGGCAGCAUUCGUGACGGGUGGAGAUCUGGGGCUCCCCCGGUGCUUCCAGGAUGCCGGGAGGUGGGAUGUCGCGGCGGCCGGGCAGCGGGGUUUGGAGGUCGGGGGUCUCCGGUGGUUCCAACACGGCUACAGCAGCAGGCGGGGAUCGGUGUGCAAGAUGGAGACCGCGCGUCGUUCAGUGGUUCACCGCCAGUCGGUGCGCGCGACCCGUAGCUAGCUCUGUGAACGCGGUUUAGAGGAGCGCGCCGGGCGUGCUCGCUUCGUGAGCAGCCGUGACAGUUUAUUGACUCCGCCCCGAUCGUGAACGUCGCAGACGGUCGCGCUCUGCUGGCGUGACGUCAUACCCGAAUGACCUGGGCGGCGCGUGGGAAAAAAAACGAGCGCACCCAAGUGAUGGAGGAGGAAGAGCGAGAGGAGGGAGGGCGGGAGACCGGCGGAUCACGUGUCCACAGAUGCGACCGAGAAAACGUGAUGGAGGCUCUGCAGGAGGCAGGAACGUGACGGCAGCAGGAUACCGGAAUACGUCACGAAGGAGUCACGUGACUUCUUCAUAUAGACUUCAAGGUCUUCCCUUUAAUUGAAACACAAGCAUAUUAUUAAAUAUUAAGUGUUUGAAACGUGAAUUGACAGUGCUGAGCAUAGAGUCGGCCCAGAUCCUGAGCCGAAAGGUUCAGAGCAGUGUUGCCAGAUUUGGCCUGAUUUGCCGCUCAAUCUGGCAACACUGGUCCGGAGUCCUGCUGAAGGCAGUCGGAUUCGAACCCGCGACCUGAGGAGACCAGAUUUUAGUCCAGGGCUCGUUGACGGUACAGGUCUCACAAGUUAUUUCCCCCCUGUGACUCACCGAGUCUUUAAUUUAAUAGGCCUAUCCUAUCACCUAAAUUAAAUGAUAAUAUUAUAAUAAUAUAAUAAUAAUAACACUAAGACAGCUCUUUACUGAUCUUUAAGCACAGUGGAGUUGCUAUUGUAAGUUAACGCUUAUUUAAUGACAUUAAUACCAUGACGUCAGAAGAUCAGUUUGUAACGAACAUGAACGAGAUUAAGAUUGCAGCUAUCAAUCCCACCAUGUUUUUGUGUGCACAAAAAUUACUCAAUGAAAUGUAUAUAUAAAUCUAGAUUCUGACUAAAACGAGGAAACGUAUUUAUAAAGAUAUGCAAUACACUUAAUUAUAAAUGUAUUAAUCAAGUAGGUUUAACAUGCAGGGACAGUCAAACAAGAUGUUACAGAUUAAAUAUACAUAAAAUAUAUUAUAUAAAUCUACAAUGACAAUGAGCCUGGAUGCAAGGCAGUUUAAGGAACAAAAAGAGUGUGUUGAUUUAAGCUUCAAGGCUGGGGGCUUCCGUUUCAGACUCUGAAUUAAACAUUUAGGGAUAGGGGAGGAACCCGAGCCACUGAGUCAUUCAGAGGGUGAGGGGAUCUGAUGACAACAUGAGGUUCAUGUUCGCAUUCACAAACACCUCACUGACAUUAACCCUUUAAAGCUCUGUUCCCUACCUAGACUUCCUGAUUGUAAGAAAAUAUACAUUAUUAGGAAGUUGAAUAAUAUGAAUAAUCACA
ensembl:lncRNA